AUUUGACAUGAAAUUGUAUGACGUCCCCAUCAGCUGUGUUGUGCAUCAUCAGUGACUUCUCCUCCACUUUGUCCCGUGAGACGAAUUCUGGUCGGUUUCGCUGUUGAGGAAAGUAUUUCCGGCUAGAAUCACUUUCGUAAAGCUUUUGCUUCUCAAAAACAAUAUUCGUUCAUUUCCAUCACAAAACAGUUUCCCACAAAAAAGUCAGACCUCACAAUCGCUCAGUGUUAUUUUCUCCUGCGCGCUUCCACCAGCUGUCAACUGUGGGGCACAUUUCCAUCAGCUGCUUCACAGUGUUUACUGCGGGGAUAGUGAAAGUAAACAUGUCUGAAUACGAAACAAGUGAUGGCGACAUUUCUUUUAGCACAAAGCCAAAGGGAUACCUCUAUGACCAGGAAUACACUGAUGCCAAACUUCGUCAGAUGGAGUUUGAACGUGCAGAGAGAGAGAAGAGGGACAGAGAAGUGCUGAAGCUGGGCCCACAGCUGUAGAUCAGGAGGGGGGAAAGAGUGGAGGCAUCCUGCACCGACACUGGAGGCACAACAGACAGAUGUUGCUGCUGCACAGGAGAGGAGGAAGUAGGAGUGUGGCUGAAUGAAAAGGCCCGAGAUGGCAGAGUUGCUCUCUGAGGAGCAAGUAAUUGGCCCCUUGACGGCAGAGGCGACGGAGAGAGGCGCACACACACAUACACACGCGCAAACAUGCAUACACACAAAUGUGUACACCCCUCCAUCUCCUGCACCUCUCCUCCCAGAUCUGAUAAAGGUAAACGUGUAGCAAAUUUGUCAUUUGAUGAGCGAGGAUUUCCACAAACAGAGCUGACAUGAUGAGCCUGUGAUCUGUCUGUAUGAGAGUCAGCAGGGGCCCAGCCAGGCAGAGAUCUCAAUCCUCCCUCUGCCUCCCUCCCUCCUCACAUACUGUCACACUCACACUUGGCUGUGUUCACAUGCAGUCUAAGUCGCAGUAAUUGCCGCCUGCCAACCAUAUCUUUGCCUGUCCUCUGUCUCGGACUCCCUCACUCGUGGUUGCUGUCUAUCGCGCCCCCUCAGAGACAUCCUCUCGUUUUGCUUUCCUCUUUUACUGUGUCAAAUAAAGGGCCC